UGYAYWACUCCUACGGGAGGCAGCAGUGGGGAAUUUUGCACAAUGGGGRAAASCCUGAUGCAGCGACGCCGCGUGAUUUAGAAGGCCUUCGGGUUGUAAAAAUCUUUUCUAUGGGAAGAAAAUGACAGUACCAUAGGAAUAAGGACCGGCUAAUUACGUGCCAGCAGCCGCGGUAAUACGUAAGGUCCGAGCGUUGUCCGGAAUCAUUGGGCGUAAAGGGUACGUAGGCGGGUAAGCAAGUUAGAAGUGAAAUCCUAUAGCUCAACUAUAGUAAGCUUUUAAAACUGCUCAUCUUGAGGUAUGGAAGGGAAAGUGGAAUUCCUAGUGUAGCGGUGAAAUGCGCAGAUAUUAGGAGGAAUACCGGUGGCGAAGGCGACUUUCUGGCCAUAACCUGACGCUGAGGUACGAAAGCGUGGGUAGCAAACAGGAUUAGAUACCCUGGUGGUCCACGCCGUAAACGAUGAGUGUUAGGUGUCUGAAGUAAAUCUGGGUGCCGCAGCUAACGCAUUAAACACUCCGCCUGGGAAGUACGCGCGCAAGCGUGAAACUCAAAGGAAUUGACGGA
rnacentral:rRNA from 1 species